UGGGGAAUUUUGGACAAUGGGCGAAAGCCUGAUCCAGCAAUGCCGCGUGUGUGAAGAAGGCCUUCGGGUUGUAAAGCACUUUUGUCCGGAAAGAAAUCCUUGGCUCUAAUACAGUCGGGGGAUGACGGUACCGGAAGAAUAAGCACCGGCUAACUACGUGCCAGCAGCCGCGGUAAUACGUAGGGUGCAAGCGUUAAUCGGAAUUACUGGGCGUAAAGCGUGCGCAGGCGGUUUGCUAAGACCGAUGUGAAAUCCCCGGGCUCAACCUGGGAACUGCAUUGGUGACUGGCAGGCUAGAGUAUGGCAGAGGGGGGUAGAAUUCCACGUGUAGCAGUGAAAUGCGUAGAGAUGUGGAGGAAUACCGAUGGCGAAGGCAGCCCCCUGGGCCAAUACUGACGCUCAUGCACGAAAGCGUGGGGAGCAAACAGGAUUAGAUACCCUGGUAGUCCACGCCCUAAACGAUGUCAACUAGUUGUUGGGGAUUCAUUUCCUUAGUAACGUAGCUAACGCGUGAAGUUGACCGCCUGGGGAGUACGGUCGCAAGAUUAAAACUUCAAAUGGAAUUGACGGGGUC
rnacentral:rRNA from 1 species